ACUGAUUCUCCGAGCCUGUCUGCCUACGGCGUUUCGCUAGGGCAGUCCGGCCUGGGUUCUGCUGGAAACGGCGGGGCCUUCCGUGCUUGAAAAGGAGAGAC
rnacentral:ncRNA from 1 species